AUUGAACGCUGGCGGCAGGCCUAACACAUGCAAGUCGAGCGAGCGGCGGAAGGGUGAGAAAUGUCUGGGAAAAUGCCUGAUGGAGGGGGAUAACUACUGGAAACGGUAGCUAAUACCGCAUACCAACAGCUGUGCCCAGAUGGGAGUAGCUAGUAGGUGGGGUAACGGCUCACCAAGGCGACGAACCCUAGCUGGUCUGGGAGGCUGACCAGCCACACUGGAGUUGAGACGCCGGCCAGACGCCUACGGGAGGCAGCAGUGGGGAAGAUGGCACGAGGGGCGCGAGCCUGAUUCAGCCAUGCCGCGUGUGUGAAGAAGGACUUCGGGUUGUAAAGCACUUUCAGCGGGGAGGCGUUACCCGCAGAAGAAGCACCGGCUAACUCCGUGUCAGCAGCCGCGGUAAUAC
rnacentral:rRNA from 1 species